rnacentral:snoRNA from 1 species
ACCUCCCCAUGUUCUGCCAAUCACACAGAUCCAGCAUGUGCUUGGCACACUUUCAAAGCAGAGAGAAAAUGGCCUUCCCAAUGCCCAGCAGACCUGCCCCAAAGUGGCUUCUUUGUUGUUACUAGGAGUUUCACAGCU